GGGCGUGUGGUGUAGUGGUAUCACGUCUGCUUUGCAUGCAGAAGGCCCCGAGUUCAAACCCUCGGCACGUCCA